GAUGAACGCUGGCGGCGUGCCUAAUACAUGCAAGUCGAGCGAACAGACGAGGAGCUUGCUCCUCUGACGUUAGCGGCGGACGGGUGAGUAACACGUGGAUAACCUACCUAUAAGACUGGGAUAACUUCGGGAAACCGGAGCUAAUACCGGAUAAUAUAUUGAACCGCAUGGUUCAAUAGUGAAAGACGGUUUUGCUGUCACUUAUAGAUGGAUCCGCGCCGCAUUAGCUAGUUGGUAAGGUAACGGCUUACCAAGGCAACGAUGCGUAGCCGACCUGAGAGGGUGAUCGGCCACACUGGAACUGAGACACGGUCCAGACUCCUACGGGAGGCAGCAGUAGGGAAUCUUCCGCAAAGGGCGAAAGCCUGACGGAGCAACGCCGCGUGAGUGAUGAAGGUCUUCGGAUCGUAAAACUCUGUUAUUAGGGAAGAACAAAUGUGUAAGUAACUAUGCACGUCUUGACGGUACCUAAUCAGAAAGCUACGGCUAACUACGUG
rnacentral:rRNA from 1 species